rnacentral:rRNA from 1 species
AUCCAAUAAGCGGAGGCAAAAGAUACCCACAGGGAUUGCCCUAGUUACGGCGAGUGAACAGGCAAGAGCUCAGAUUUGAAAGGCACUUUUGUGCCGUUGUAUUCUGAAGUUAGGGUCCUGAGAAACGAUGCUUAAGUCUUCUGGAAAGGAGCGCCAUGGAGGGUGAUAGCCCCGUCUAGCAUUGACCUCAUAUAGGAUCUUAACAUGGAGUCGAGUUGUUUGGGAAUGCAGCUCAAAUGGGUGGUAUGCUCCAUCUAAAGCUAAAUAUCUGCGAGAGACCGAUAGUAAACAAGUACUGUGAGGGAAAGAUGAAAAGAACUUUGAAAAGAGAGUGAAAAAGUACGUGAAAUUGUUGAAAUGGAAGGGUAGGCCGCUAACCAUGUAGAGCCGUGUUUGGGGGGAAGAUAAAUGCUGUAGAAUGUAGCUCCUCGGAGUAUUAUAGAUGCAGUUCAUAUUCCCACCACGAGUCGGCGAGGAUCUCAGGUU